UACGUAGGGUGCAAGCGUUGUCCGGAAUUAUUGGGCGUAAAGAGCUCGUAGGCGGCUUGUUGCGUCUGCCGUGAAAAAUUCACAGCUCAACUGUGGACGUGCGGUGGAUACGGGCAGGCUUGAGUUCGGUAGGGGAGACUGGAAUUCCUGGUGUAGCGGUGAAAUGCGCAGAUAUCAGGAGGAACACCGGUGGCGAAGGCGGGUCUCUGGGCCGAUACUGACGCUGAGGAGCGAAAGCGUGGGGAGCGAACAGG
rnacentral:rRNA from 1 species